UACGAAGGGUGCCAGCGUUACUCGGAAUUACUGGGCGUAAAGCGUGCGUAGGCGGUUUGUUAAGUCUGUCGUGAAAGCCCCGGGCUCAACCUGGGAAUGGCGAUGGAAACUGGCGAGCUAGAGUACGGUAGAGGAGAGUGGAAUUCCCGGUGUAGCAGUGAAAUGCGUAGAGAUCGGGAGGAACAUCAGUUGCGAAGGCGGCUCUCUGGACCAGUACUGACGCUGAGGCACGAAAGCGUGGGGAGCAAACAGG
rnacentral:rRNA from 1 species